rnacentral:tRNA from 1 species
GGGGUUGUGGCUCAGUGGUAGAGCACUUGCCUAGCAUGUAUGAAGCACUGGGUUUGAUCCUCAGCACCA